GUUCUCAAGGCCUUAAUUGCUGCUGAUUGAAAGGACCCACACGUUCCUGCAGACACUGUUUGCCCACCCGGACGGGAGUUUCACACUGUUGGUCUACACUGUGGCCAAUUGCACAUCACAGUUCUACACACAUCUGGCUUGUCCAGCCUUAUAUGAAAAAGGCCAGUUCGGCUGUAGGCUUUUGUUUUAGCCUACAAUGCUGGAUUCACCUAAUUAACUAGUCAUAAUAUUCAAUCAAGACUAAGAAGUAGAAUCAGGUGUCUUACUGCUGGGCUAGAACGAAAACCUGCAUGCACACAGCUGACUACUGACUGAAGAAAUAGCAGGUUUAAUAUAUCGGUUCCCUUAUGACAGCGAGGGUGACCAUCCUAGAUCCCAGAAGGCCACUGAGUCAGCCGGAUUUUCUUUUCCUCAGCAACCUGCUCUGACCCAAGACAGCAGAGCCAUCGAAACGAGGGGUCACCCGACCAGGGAGGGAAAGGUCUGGGCUCUCCGCGAGUGGGCUCUCCACGUCUGGACCCAUGACUCCAAAACAUCCAAAAUAAGGCGAAGAUUUCCUGCUCCCGUUAACAAAUGUCCCAGCGUGUCUCACCACCUCCCUACACAGGGCGGCUGUUGCAUCAUUCGGACGUGAGGACAGGGAAGAGCCUGGCCCGUGUGGAGCGGCCGCAGGCUGCUCGGAGAGACGGGACAGCCAGCUGGCGAGAGCGUACUGAUCUGAGAGGGCUGGUCGGGCUGUACGGUGCAAUGAGUGCCUCAAGGCAGGAAGGGGGCAGUUCCAUUUGCAGCCUAGUAUGCGGUGUACAAGAUUUAAAUUGAAUGUGGGCAGCCACCGGAAGUGGGCAAAGGGCACUCCAAAGCGGUGUGGCAUGACGAAUCCGGGCUGGUUGAAGUCCAGGCGGGCAGCAUGUAGUGUCAUCACGGCAUCACGGCAGCCAGUGCACAGAAACGUGGGCACAAAACUCACCUCUGCCUGAUGAUUAGCCUUAACCCGUCUGUGCUUUACAUGCGCCAUUAACAAACAUGCCUCUUAAAAGCUGCUAAAAUGCUAUUUUGGAUUUUGGAACCGUGAAUGAAAUUAAAGCCAUAAUAUCUAUAACAUUUUCUGUUUAUUUUCAUUGUAUGUAUUGGCUGUGUUUGGCCUUCACCUGGACGGCAUUGUUUACAUAUGCAUCACCUAUGACAGUCAUUAUCAAUUGUGCUUUAACUUCAGGUAAUAUAACUACAAGUUAACUUUUUUCUUGCACUUUGACUUGUAACAAUUAGAAAAUAAAAUAAAUAAAAGGCUGACAGUAAAUGCCUU